GAGAAUUAGGGUUCGAUUCCGGAGAGGGAGCCUGAGAAACGGCUACCACAUCUACGGAAGGCAGCAGGCGCGCAAAUUGCCCAAUCCCGACACGGGGAGGCAGUGACAAGAAAUAACAACUCUUGGAUUUCUAAGAAGUGUAAUGAGGAUAAUUUACAACCCUUACCGAAAGCAAUUGGAGGGCAAGUCUGGUGCCAGCAGCCGCGGUAAUUCCAGCUCCAAUAGCGUAUAUUAAAGUUGUUGCAGUUAAAAAGCUCGUAGUUGAAGUUCUGAUUGUUCGGGCCUCGCGCUUUAUAGCCGAGGAACCGACAGUCAUCCGCUUGCAAAUAUAUGUUCGCCUUUAACCGGGUGGCUAUAUGAGUAAGCAAUUUACCUUGAGAAAAACAGAGUGUUCCAGGCAGGUUUGUCCGGAAUGCAUUAGCAUGGAAUAAUAGAAUAUGACUGAAGUCGAUUUAUUGGUUUAAGGCUUUAGUAAUGAUUAAUAGGAACAGUCGGGGGCAUUGGUACUUGACAGUCAGAGGUGAAAUUCUAGGAUUUGUCAAAGACUAACAAAUGCGAAAGCAUUUGCCAAGGAUGUUUUCAUUAAUCAAGAACGAAAGUUAGGGGAUCAAAGACGAUCAGAUACCGUCCUAGUCUUAACUAUAAACUAUACCGACUCGGAUUCAGAUGAAUCAAAAAGUUCAUUUGGGACCGUAGGAGAAAUCAAAGUUUUUGGGUUCUGGGGGAAGUAUGGUCGCAAGGCUGAAACUUAAAGGAAUUGACGGUUUUGCACCACCAUGGAGUGGAGUUUGCGGCUUAAUUUGACCCAACACUGGGAAACUCAUCAGGGCAAGAAGAUUUUAGGAUUGACAGAUUGAGAGUUCUUUCUUGAUUGGUCUAGUGGUGGUGCAUGGCCGUUCUUAGUUGGUGGAGUGAUUUGUCUGGUUAAUUCCGUUAACGAACGAGACCUUAACCUGCUAACUAGUAUUAGUAUCCCAAAUACUAACUACUUCUUAGAGGGACUAUGUGAUGUAAUCACAUGGAAGUUUGAGGCAAUAACAGGUCUGUGAUGCCCUUAGAUGUCCUGAGCUGCACGCGUACUACAAUGGCACUUUCAACGAGCAUUUCCUGAUCCGAAAGGAUUUGGGUAAUCUUUUUAGUGAGUGCCGUGAUUGGGAUAGAUCUUUGUAAUUAUGGAUCUUGAACUAGGAAUUCCUAGUAAGCGCGAGUCAUCAGCUCGUGCUGAUUACGUCCCUGCAAAAUGUACACACCGCCCGUCGCUUUUACCGAUUGAGUGCUCAGGUGAACCUUCUCGAUAGUGUAAACUAGAAAUUAAGUAAACCUUAGCACUUAGAGGAAAAAGAAGUCGUAACAAGGUUUCCGUAGGUGAACCUGCGGAAG
rnacentral:rRNA from 1 species